rnacentral:rRNA from 1 species
GGCGAACGGGUGAGUAACACGUGGGUGAUCUGCCCUGCACUCCGGGGUAAGCCUGGGAAACUGGGUCUAAUACCGGAUAGGAGCUCCUGCUGCAUGGUGGGGGUUGGAAAGUUUCGGCGGUUGGGGAUGGACUCGCGGCUUAUCAGCUUGUUGGUGGGGUAGUGGCUUACCAAGGCUUUGACGGGUAGCCGGCCUGAGAGGGUGACCGGCCACAUUGGGACUGAGAUACGGCCCAG